CACGUAGGGGGCGAGCGUUGUCCGGAUUCAUUGGGCGUAAAGGGCGCGCAGGCGGCCCGGAAAGUCGGAUGUGAAAACUCGAGGCUCAACCUCGAGCGUGCACCCGAUACUGCCGGGCUUGAGGCAGGUAGGGGAGAUCGGAAUUCCUGGUGUAGCGGUGAAAUGCGCAGAUAUCAGGAGGAACACCGGUGGCGAAGGCGGAUCUCUGGGCCUGUCCUGACGCUGAGGCGCGAAAGCUAGGGGAGCGAACGGG
rnacentral:rRNA from 1 species